rnacentral:lncRNA from 10 species
ACCGCCCCCAGGGGCCGAGGGCUGCCCCUUGUCCCCCUUCCAGUUCUGCCCGCGUUUUCCUCCUUAAGGAGGAACCCCCUCCCCUAAGAGAGCGACCCUCUCUGGCAGUCGGAGCGGGAGGACUGCACAGAGGGGGUCGCUCCCUCCCCUCGGCCCAGUCCCCAGCUCCGGAGGCAGGAUGGAGGGUGUGCGUCCCCCAGGGCGACAGAGCUCUAGGAGAGCGGCUCCUGAGGACCCUGUCCUUGGGUCCGAGCGCUGGCAGAGGACCCAAAGCCACCGAGUGGGGGUCACCGCCUGCGUGGCGGCCUGGGCAGGUCGGGCGGCGAGCGCCGGGGAGGCGGAGGGAAAUCCACAGCAGUGAUACAUGUGACGUCCACACUGACAGUGCCCUCCUGUGGGCAUGGCUCAGGUUGUGCGCAGUUCCUGGCACACUGGCUGUAACUCCGCCCCUUUCUCUCCCUCUCAGUAAAGCAAGAUUACGCGGUGACAUGCCUCACAGCUGAUCACGACACACGGGGAUGGAGAGCAAGAGUUAUGGA